rnacentral:rRNA from 1 species
GCUCCAAUAGCGUAUAUUAAAGUUGUUGCAGUUAAAAAGCUCGUAGUUGAAGUUCUGAUUGUUCAGGUCCUGCAGCUCUUAAAGCGGGGAUUCUGACAGUCAUCCGCUUGCAAGCAUAUGUUUGCCUUUAACCGGGUAGCUAUGUGAGUAAGCAAUUUACCUUGAGAAAAACAGAGUGUUCCAGGCAGGUUUGUCCGGGA